AGGAACAUGGGAAAAGAUUGCUUAUCAGUAUUUUUCUUUUCAUUUCAGCUCAUCUGUUCUCUUUUCUCAGUUGCUAAGAACGAUAAGAAAACGAAGUCUUCAGGUCACCGACUGAAGCACCGCAUAGAAAUUUCGGCGACUGAGGUUCUGGUGCACGAAAUAAAGGACGAGUAUUUGUGAGAGUGCUUAGGAACUCAAAGACAAGCACACUGUCAGAAAGAAAAUAAUACUGCAGUAUUGAUAUAAAAAUUACCUGUGCCCCCUUAUGACUGCGCUAGCAUGCGGAACUGCUGCUGUCUGCAUUUAUCAACCUUAAAGCGGGAAGGAUCCAGUAAAUUAUACUGAGUACAGAAAAUUAGUUAAAACUUCUUUAAGAUGGUGUUAAUAAAGAGAAAAUGAAUGGCUGAAACAAAUAACUGAAUGAAUUGAAAAGGAGAAAAGGACUUUACCAGAAGAUAUUAAGGAUCUCUCUCUGUAGUUGGGGUGGCCUUGAACUCACUAUGUGGACCAAACUGCCCUCAAACGCAAGGUUAUCCUCCCACCUCAGCUUCCCAAACGCUAGGAUUACAGGUACAUGGGAUCAAACUCAGGACCUUGCUCUUGUGAGGCAGGCACAGUGCCACUGAGCUACAUCCCCAGCCUGAGACCAUCGUUCUGAACCAUCAUCACUUCUGUCAUCCUGUACAUGCAAACCGGUUUCCAGUACCAGUCUGUGCAGCCAAGCAGCCUCAGCACUUUCCAUCAAGGCCACCUCCACCGCACCCGACAGCGUCAUCUCAGGGAAAUUUAGUUCCUGCCCGUCCUGCUCCUGCACCUCCUUUGUAUAGUUCCCUCGCCUGAUUUUAUACUCUUCUUUUUGCACAUAUCUUCAGAGAACCGAGCAAAUGUUUUUACUCCCUGGUGUUUCUCGGGAAGGCCUUUCUUCCUAUUGCAACUAUGAAUGGAAACAAAUUCCACAGAACAAACAAACUGGGGAGUUGAGAAGUACAAGGAAAUGCAGUCAAAUGAGGAAUCCGUUUCCAGCAUUGAAACGUCGUGUUC